rnacentral:lncRNA from 10 species
UUGAAGACUGCUUGCAGUUGGCCAUUUCCAGCUUGAUGUCAGAUGACCAGCUUUGAUGAGGCUGGUGAAGCGCUCACCUGAGGUAUAGGAGCCUCUGGUUUCUGGAUUUUUCACAAAGAGAACUGGUCUGCAUGGUGCUGAGUCACUGUCUCCAUGCCAGGAAAGAGGGUCUGGGGCUACCUCUUCUGCUUUCUUGAUGACGUCACAACCUCUCAGUCUCUUCUUCUCAAUGUUCCACGUUCUCAACUUCAAAUUAUAUGUAAGAACACAUACGCAUCAUUCAAAUUCCAGUGAUGAAUUUGCCAAAGUGGUUCCUUCCUUCCAUUGUGGCUCGUAAACAUCAUUCUGUCCUUGCGAUUUUAAAAAAGCAUCGAGAUCCAACUACCAGGAGAAUAGGAGGCAGCAGUGACCCAGUGACAGCACGAAGUGCCCCCACCACACCAUCCCAAAUAAACACACUAGGCAAAAAUAGUGCGUGAGCUGUGCGAACACAAUUUCAGAACCAGCCCCUUCAGCUCAUCCCUCCAACCCACCAGCUACUUCUGAAGCCCUCCCCUUCUCCUGCACUCUCCCACCAAUCUUGAGCUGCCAUCAUAUCCACGCUCCACGGCUCAUGAAGAGGCUGAGAGAUGCAGUGGAGGGUUCAACGCUGGGCAAGUAUAUUAGCAGUUCCAACUGACCUGACCGAGAAAUGAAUCUCUUUAUGUAGUCAGAACCUUGAAGCCAAGGGAUAGCAACCAUUCUGAAGGGCAGAGACAGACAAAGGAAUUUACUGAUGCAUGUAAACAAAAAAUCCUCGAGGAAUUGUGAUAUUGUCAUUUACAAUGAGAAAUACAUAUUUGCUCUUCGUUGCUGGCAUAGCUCCUAAAACGCUUGAAGUCUCUGAAAUGAUAAAUGUUUUUUCUUAUGCUAAUGAGAUGACUGGUGGCUGAGGGCUCCUGGAUAGCUGUAGGAUGGGGGCUGGUUUUCAGGGAAACCAAUCUCGUGAUUGGGUACUUUCAGCCCCAUUUCCCAAACUCUGGGGAGGGGAGAGGGGCUGAAGCUGGAGUUGGUCACCAAUGGUCAAUGAAGCCAAAGGUCAAUCAAGCCUCAUAAUGAGGCCUCUAUAAAAACCCAAAAUGGGCUAGGCAUGGUGGUUCAUGCCUGUAAUCCCAGCACUUUGGGAGGCUGAGGUGGGUGGAUCACCUGAGGUCACGAGUUCGAGACCAGCCUGGCCAACAUGGUGAAACCCUGUCCCUACUAAAAAUACAAAAUUAGCUGGGUGUGGUGGCGGGUGCCCGUAAUCCCAGCUACUCAAGGGGCUGAGGCAGGAGAAUCGCUUGAACCCGGGAGGCAGAGGCUGCAGUAAGCUGAGAUCACAUCACUGCACUCCAGCCUGGGAGACAGAGCGAGACUCCAUCUCAAAAAACAAAACAAAACAACAACAACAACAAAAUGACAGGGUCUGGAGUACUUCCAGAUUGCUGAACAUUCAGAGGUUUUUUUAGGAGAGUGGAACACCCCGAGAGGGUAUGGAAGUCCUGCACCCUUUCCCCCAUACCUCGCCCUAUGCAUCUCUUCAUCUGGCUGUUCAUCUGUAUCCUUUAUCCUAUCUUUCACUGGACAAUAAACUGUAAACAUAAGUAUUUCCCUGAGUUCUGUGAGCCAUUGCAGCAAAUUAUGGAACCCAAGAAGGGGGUUUUGGAAAUUCUGAUUUUACAGCUGGUCAGUCAGAAGUACUGGCGAAAACCUGGGACUUCAUAUUGGUAUCUGAAAUGGGAAAAGUCUUUGGGAGACUGUGCGCUUAACCUGUGAGGUCUGAUGGUAACUCCAGGUAGACAGUGUCAGAAUUGAAUUAAAUUGCAAGACACCUAGUUGGUGCCCACUGGAGAAUUCAUGUGUAUGAAGAAAUCCCCAUAUCUGGUUACAGAAGUGUUCUGUGUUGUGUUGAGUGAGAGGAUAGUAGGAGAAAACAGUUUGGAUCUUCCUGCAUUACAGGAACGGCGAUAGCUCUCAACACAGCUGGAUCUGCAUAUACUGUCACCAGGAAUCGCGACUUUUCUGAAUGUACUGGCUUCGUUCCCAGUUGGCACUCUGCACAUGGGAGUAAAGACGGCCACCAGAAGGCAAAGCUUCUAUCGUACCAGCUUGGAAACCCCAGCUGAGAGCAUGUGCCUCUUUCACACUGGUUCCAGAAAAAGUCCCAGAAUAGACUCAUUGUCUGACUUGGAUCAUGUGCCUAUCACUUAGCCAGUCCCUGAGUUUUCUGCCUGCUCCUGGGACCAGAGUGUGGGUCAGACCACACGCAGCACGUGGAUUGAGAGUGAGAAAGAAUGAGCUCCAAAGCAAGAGAACGGGGGAAAGAUGCCAGAAAGACAGAAACGAAAGAUAUCCCCAAAGCACAAGCCUUAGCUGUCAACCAUUUGAACCCCCAGGAUUUUUUCAUCCUCAGUUUGAUGCAUGCUAAAUACGGUUUGAAAUUCUGUUAAAUCACAAAGCGUUGUUCCCAUCAAGAAUUGGAACAUCACCAGCACCCCAGGGCAGCCCCUGUACUCCCUUCCAGGCACUAUCCACUGGAAGGUAACCCACCCCGAAUUCUAACAGCACAGGUAAGUUUGGCCUGUUCUGAUACUUCACAUAAAUGGAAUCACGGCUUGUACUAUAUUGUGAUUGUGCCCUUUUCUGUGUGCAUAUUAUAAUUCAAUAAAAAGUUUAUUUAAAAAGCUGCU